rnacentral:rRNA from 1 species
AGUCGAACGGCAGCACGGGAGCAAUCCUGGUGGCGAGUGGCGAACGGGUGAGUAAUAUAUCGGAACGUGCCCAAUCGUGGGGGAUAACGCAGCGAAAGCUGUGCUAAUACCGCAUACGUCCUGAGGGAGAAAGCGGGGGACCGCAAGGCCUCGCGCGAUGAGAGCGGCCGAUGUCAGAUUAGCUAGUUGGUGAGGUAAAGGCUCACCAAGGCGACGAUCUGUAGCUGGUCUGAGAGGACGACCAGCCACACUGGAACUGAGACACGGUCCAGACUCCUACGGGAGGCAGCAGUGGGGAAUUUUGGACAAUGGGCGAAAGCCUGAUCCAGCCAUGCCGCGUGCAGGAUGAAGGCCUUCGGGUUGUAAACUGCUUUUGUACGGAACGAAAAGUCUCUUUCUAAUAAAGAGGGAUCAUGACGGUACCGUAAGAAUAAGCACCGGCUAACUACGUGCCAGCAGCCGCGGUAAU